rnacentral:rRNA from 1 species
UACGUAGGGGGCUAGCGUUGUCCGGAAUCAUUGGGCGUAAAGAGCGUGUAGGCGGCCCGGUAAGUCCGCUGUGAAAGUCGGGGGCUCAACCCUCGAAUGCCGGUGGAUACUGUCGGGCUAGAGUGCGGGAGAGGCGAGUGGAAUUCCAAGUGUAGCGGUGAAAUGCGUAGAUAUUGGGAGGAACACCAGUGGCGAAGGCGGCUCGCUGGACCGGUUCUGACGCUGAGGCGCGAAAGCGUGGGUAGCAAACAGG